rnacentral:rRNA from 1 species
UCCGUAGGUGAACCUGCGGAGGGAUCAUUACAGAGUUCAUGCCCUAUUGGGUAGAUCUCCCACCCUUUGUCUUAUAUACCUCUGUUGCUUUGGCAGUUCUGCUGGUUAAGCGCCCUGCCAGAGGACCCCCAACUCUGAGAGUUAGUGUCGUCUGAGUACUAUAUAAUAGUUAAAACUUUCAACAACGGAUCUCUUGGUUCUGGCAUCGAUGAAGAACGCAGCGAAAUGCGAUAAGUAAUGUGAAUUGCAGAAUUUAGUGAAUCAUCGAAUCUUUGAACGCACAUUGCGCCCCUUGGCAUUCCGAGGGGCAUGCCUGUUCGAGCGUCAUUACAACCCUCAAGCUCUGCUUGGUGUUGGGCAUCGCCAGUCUUGGUGUGCCUUAAAAUCAGUGGCGGUGCCAUCUGGCCCUCAGCAUAGUAGUAUUUCUCUUGCUAUAGGGACCUGGUAGGUGCCUGCCAUUCAACCCCCUAGUUAUUAUCAAGGUUGACCUCGGAUCAGGUAGGGAUAUACCCGCUGAACUUAAGCAUAUC